GAGCAGAUAAAGACAUGGACCCCGGUGAGUUAUUUGAGUUUAUGUGCAUGGAUCGUCUUUAAUAAAAAAAAUAAAAGAUGGAUUUUAAUGUCUGUUCUUAUGUUGUGUUAUAGUGACAGCUGUGUGCAGUGCUGCAGGAGCAGGUGCUGUAGUCGCCGCUCCUGCUCUUCUGGGAGCUGCUGGUUUCACCUCAGCAGGAAUAGCUGCAGGCUCCUACGCUGCAGGCAUGAUGUCGUCUGCUGCAGUUGCUAAUGGAGGAGGAGUGGCAGCUGGAAGUGUGGUGGCUGUUUUGCAGUCAGCAGGUGCAGCUGGUCUGUCUGCUACUGUUGGUGCUGCUGUGGCUGGUGCUGGAGCAGCAGUGGGAUGGUUGGCGAGUUUCAUCAGCUGAAAAUCAUGAAGAACUCAUAUAUUUGCUUUAUGCCAUAACUGGAAGUCUUGUUACUCUGCUAAAGUUUUUUUUCCUACCAAUUUAUGCAAACACUUUUUCAUUAUUAUGUUUUGACUGUUAGAAAAUUAUAUUAGUAGUAAUAAAA
ensembl:lncRNA